UACGUAGGAUGCUAGCGUUGUCCGGAUUUACUGGGCGUAAAGCGCGCGCAGGCGGCACUGUAAGUAAGGUGUGAAAUCUCCCUGCUCAACGGGGAGGGUGCACUUUAGACUGCAGAGCUAGAGGACGGUAGAGGGGGGUGGAAUUGCUGGUGUAGCGGUGAAAUGCGUAGAGAUCAGCAGGAACACCCGUGGCGAAGGCGGCCCCCUGGGCCGAACCUGACGCUGAGGCGCGAAGGCUAGGGGAGCGAACCGGG
rnacentral:rRNA from 1 species